rnacentral:rRNA from 1 species
GACGAGUGGCGGACGGGUGAGUAACGCGUAGGAAUCUGCCUAAUAGUGGGGGACAACCUGGUGAAAACCAGGCUAAUACCGCAUACGCCCUACGGGGGAAAGCGGGGGAUCUUCGGACCUCGCGCUAUCAGAUGAGUAUGCGUCUUAUUAGCUAGAUGGUAAGGUAACGGCUUACCAUGGCAACGAUAAGUAGGGGUCCUGAGAGGGAGAUCCCCCACACUGGUACUGAGACACGGACCAGACUCCUACGGGAGGCAGCAGUGAGGAAUAUUGGGCAAUGGAGGCAACUCUGACCCAGCCAUGUCGCGUGCAGGAAGACGGCCCUAUGGGUUGUAAACUGCUUUUAUAGAGGAAGAAACCCCAUUACGUGUAAUGGGCUGACGGUACUCUACGAAUAAAGACCGGCUAACUCCGUGCCAGCAGCCGCGGUAAUACGGAGGGUCUAAGCGUUAUCCGGAAUCAUUGGGUUUAAAGGGUCCGUAGGCGGGCUAAUAAGUCAGAGGUGAAAUCCCACAGCUCAACUGUGGAACUGCCUUUGAUACUGUUAGUCUUGAGUUAUAGUGAGGUAGAUAGAAUGUGUAGUGUAGCGGUGAAAUGCAUAGAUAUUACACAGAAUACCGAUUGCGAAGGCAGUCUACUAACUAUAUACUGACGCUGAUGGACGAAAGCGUGGGGAGCGAACAGGAUUAGAUACCCUGGUAGUCCAAGCCGUAAACGAUGGAUACUAGCUGUUAGUUAUGCCGUAGGGGAUGAUGANGUGGCCAAGCAAAAGAGAUAAGUAUCCCACCUGGGGAGUACGUUCGCAAGAAUGAAACUCAAAGGAAUUGACGGGGGCCNGCACAAGCGGUGGAGCAUGUGGUUUAAUUCGCAUGAUACGNGAGGAACCUUACCAGGGCUUAAAUGUAAGUNGCAUGGGGUAGAGAUACCCCUUUCUUCGGACUACUUACANGGUGNUGCAUGGUUGUCGGCAGCUCGUGCCGGGAGGUGUCAGGUUNAAGUCCUAUAACNAGCGCNACCCCUAUCGUUUAGUUGCNAACAGGUCAAGCUGUGGACUCUANCGAGACUGCCCGGCAAACCGCGAGGAAGGUGGGGAAUGACNUCAAAUCAUCACCGCCCUUACGUCCUGGGCUACACACGUGCUACA